GACGAACGCUGGCGGCGUGCUUAACACAUGCAAGUCGAACGGAAAGGCCCUGCUUUUGUGGGGUGCUCGAGUGGCGAACGGGUGAGUAACAUGUGAGUAACCUGCCCUUGACUUUGGGAUAACUUCAGGAAACUGGGGCUAAUACCGGAUAGGAGCUCCUGCUGCCUGGUGGGGGUUGGAAAGUUUCGGCGGUUGGGGAUGGACUCGCGGCUUAUCAGCUUGUUGGUGGGGUAGUGGCUUACCAAGGCUUUGACGGGUAGCCGGCCUGAGAGGGUGACCGGCCACAGUGGGACUGAGAUACGGCCCAGACUCCUACGGGAGGCAGCAGUGGGGAAUAUUGCACAAUGGGCGGAAGCCUGAUGCAGCAACGCCGCGUGCGGGAUGACGGCCUUCGGGUUGUAAACCGCUUUCGCCUGUGACGAAGCGUGAGUGACGGUAAUGGGUAAAGAAGCACCGGCUAACUACGUG
rnacentral:rRNA from 1 species